rnacentral:rRNA from 1 species
UACGUAGGCAGCGAGCGUUGUUCGGAGUUACUGGGCGUAAAGAGUAUGUAGGCGGUUGCGUAAGUUUGGUGUGAAAUCUCCCGGCUUAACUGGGAGGGUGCGCCGAAAACUGCGUGGCUAGAGUGUGGGAGAGGAAAGCGGAAUUCCUGGUGUAGCGGUGAAAUGCGUAGAUAUCAGGAGGAACACCGGCGGUGUAGACGGCUUUCUGGACCAUUACUGACGCUGAGAUACGAAAGCGUGGGUAGCAAACAGG